UACGUAGGGGGCAAGCGUUAUCCGGAUUUACUGGGUGUAAAGGGAGCGUAGACGGCAGCGCAAGUCUGGAGUGAAAUGCCGGGGCCCAACCCCGGAACUGCUCUGGAAACUGUGAAGCUGGAGUGCAGGAGAGGUAAGCGGAAUUCCUAGUGUAGCGGUGAAAUGCGUAGAUAUUAGAAGGAACACCAGUGGCGAAGGCGGUUUGCUGGGCCAUUACUGACGCUCAUGCACGAAAGCGUGGGGAGCAAAUAGG
rnacentral:rRNA from 1 species